GACGAACGCUGGCGGCGUGCUUAACACAUGCAAGUCGAACGGAAAGGCCCUGCUUUUGUGGGGUGCUCGAGUGGCGAACGGGUGAGUAACACGUGAGUAACCUGCCCUUGACUUUGGGAUAACUUCAGGAAACUGGGGCUAAUACCGGAUAGGAGCUCCUGCUGCAUGGUGGGGGUUGGAAAGUUUCGGCGGUUGGGGAUGGACUCGCGGCUUAUCAGCUUGUUGGUGGGGUAGUGGCUUACCAAGGCUUUGACGGGUAGCCGGCCUGCGAGGGUGACCGGCCACAUUGGGACUGAGAUACGGCGCAGACUCCUACGGGAGGCAGCAGUGGGGAAUAUUGCACAAUGGGCGGAAGCCUGAUGCAGCAACGCCGCGUGCGGGAUGACGGCCUUCGGGUUGUAAACCGCUUUCGCCUGUGACGAAGCGUGAGUGACGGUAAUGGGUAAAGAAGCACCGGCUAACUACGUG
rnacentral:rRNA from 1 species